GGGAGACGUCGCCGAGCCCGCCCCUGAACAGCGCCAGCACGCCGCCACCCGCUGCCGACGACCGCCGGCUACGGGCUAGUAAGAUCUCACAGGCGUGCUUGUCGAUGAAUUGAUGUCCUUCAGCAGCCAGUAGGAGCAGUACGCUGCCAUGCUCCCGUCCUGUUCACGGAGACGUUUAAUCAGCUUUUCUAGCCGACAUCGCUUGCUCAAGUUAAUCAGCUUUUCUAGCCGACAUCGCUUGCUCAAGUUAAUCCUUGACUCCUUGUAUGCUUAAUUCCUUGGCGUUUCCUCAAAAUAGAAAAUGAUGGAAAGAGAGAGACCAUUGAUGACCUUGGGCUGAUUAGACAUCUCCAUCUUCAUAUAAUAUUCGCUGUUACGUUUGGAUUUACUGCCACCACUUAGCCGAUUAAUUAUUCUGCUAUCUCGCCGCUGUAACCCGCUGGAGAUGGUGAUGCAACACAUGUAGCUUGGCCAUGGUGAUGAUUCAA